GAUGCUUGAAACGUUAAGUAGACGUAUAUAAGAAUGUUCCUUUUUAACACAAAUUCUGUGUUUUUACUCACAGAUUUUUCUGCUUAGCUAGCAGUAAAUCAUAUAUUCACGGUUUGGAAACUGAUACUAAAAUUAUUUGUAGCCCAAUUUGAGCUUGCCAUAUUUUAAUACAACUAUUUUGUACUCUGUAGGCGAUUUUAGUUCUCAAUAUAUGUUUUAUUUUUUUAUUUUAAAAAUGAUUGUAUUAUUUCUGCGUGCUGAAAUUAUGCGCGUUUAUUUCAUUAAGAAAUCGUCAUUUACUUCUGGACGAUUA
rnacentral:lncRNA from 1 species